UAGAGUUUUGAUUAUGGCUCAGGAUGAACGCUAGCGGCAGGCUUAACACAUGCAAGUCGAGGGGUAACAGGGAUUGCUUGCAAUCCGCUGACGACCGGCGCACGGGUGCGUAACGCGUAUGCAACCUACCUUCUACAGGGGGAUAGUCAAUAGAAAUGUUGAAUAAUACCCCAUACGAUCUUUGAAUAGCAUUAUUUAAAGAAGAAAGCUCCGGCGGUAGAAGAUGGGCAUGCGUCCUAUUAGUUAGUUGGUAAGGUAACGGCUUACCAAGACUUCGAUAGGUAGGGGUCCUGAGAGGGAGACCCCCCACACUGGUACUGAGACACGGACCAGACUCCUACGGGAGGCAGCAGUGAGGAAUAUUGGACAAUGGAGGCAACUCUGAUCCAGCCAUGCCGCGUGCAGGAAGACUGCCCUAUGGGUUGUAAACUGCUUUUAUACAGGAAGAAAUAUACC
rnacentral:rRNA from 1 species